AUUACUUAUUUACGAUAUUCUAAUAACAAAGAAAAAAUUGUACUUUUUAAAAAAAAAUUGUCAAAUAAAAAAAAAAUUUACAUGGUGAUAAUACAAAUGACUGGAGAUGCUAGAUAAUUUGAAUUAUGUUUACAAUUGUGUAUAAUACGCAUAUUUAUAUCGUGUGAUAUGUUGGUUAGAGGGAUGCGUAUUAUGCAUGCCUACAUAUAUGUUAAUCUAUUUCAAGUCCAAACAUCGACCCAUAUGAGAAUAUCUUGUUGAAAUCCAAAGGAAAAAUAUUUUAUCAUUUUUUAUAAUUUGUGCCUUCUUGUGUUUGGUUUUCAAGUUUAAUUAUUAAGUCUAGUAACUUUACUUGUAAAUCAUGAUUUAUCGUAUCCGUCUGUUAUGAGUAUGAAGUUGAUCAGGCUACUGUUAAUAUCAAAUUUAAAAAAAAAAAUAGACAGUAGAGUAGAAGGAUCAUUUGACCCUGUGCCUUUGUUGACAUAUAAAGUUCUUUUAUCUUCUACAAGUUUAUAAAAAAAUACAUGAAUACUAUUAAUGUGGAUAUUUUUUGGUUCAUUUCACGUAAGUGUUGUGGUCAAAGAUAAGUUGUGGCACUUUGUCUAAUUGGUGUUUCCGAAUAUUUGAAUACUAAAAUAGUGUAUCAUCAAAUGGUGCCACUGCAUAAUUUUGUUUAAUAAGGAUACAAUGUGAUCUCAUUCAUUAAAAUAAUUUUAUAGAAGAAUGGACAAUUGAAAUAACUUGUGACAUUUAUAUGCAACUUGUUAUAAAGUUUGUUACAUUUUAA
rnacentral:lncRNA from 1 species